GCCUUCGCCGCUAGUCGCGCGGCUCCCGCCCUCAGCGGUGCAACAGCAGCGAAGCCCGCCGCCCCGGGGGGCCCCGGGCCUCCCUCUGGAGCAGGGCGUCGACGCUGCAGCCGCCGCCGCCGCCUCGGGAGCCGUCGUGAGGACAGAGACCGUGGCUGAGUCCGUCGACAGCUUAAUGCCUUGUGCAUGUGGAAUGAUUGUUUGCUUUUUGGUUCAUCAAAAAACAAGGCACCGUGACAGAGAGGACUUGGGUGUGAAAAUGCUCUACUAUUUUACAUGUCUUAAGAACUCCAGAGAAACUUCCAGUCCACCAUGGAAAUGAAUGUCUGCAACUACAUAAGAAGGUAGAAGACUGGAAGACUCACGAGAGACGUGUGAAGUGAGUCCGAGCUCCCUAGUAGCUAAGGAGAUGGGGUGACAGACUACCUCCCGGGAGUGUGUCCUUUGGUGUGACGGCACCGGAUAGAAAGUGUGGACUGUUACACACAGCCCUUUAGAUGUCACCGCCCCUCCCUUCCCGCAGCCUCCAUUAGGUUUCCAACUGGGCCGUAAGACCACGGGGUUAGGGAGGGAUACGUGUGGAGAGGGUAAAAGGUGGGAGUAGGUGGAAGAAUAAAGGAUGUGAAUUGAAAGACACCAAUA